rnacentral:rRNA from 1 species
GGAUUGGCUCUNAGGGUUGGGUAUNGGGGNCUUUGUCUGAUGUUCGAGCUGAGCAGAAGCUACUUGAUGCUUCCGGUGUAGAGUGGCUUCGCUCAUGGCAAGAAUUGCCGGACAAGGGAAGCUCCGGGCUUUCUCUGUGCAGUGAACAAUCAACNCAGAACU